rnacentral:rRNA from 2 species
GGAUCCAGACUUUGAUUAUGGCUCACGAUGAACGCUAGCUACAGGCUUAACACAUGCAAGUCGAGGGGCAGCGGUAUCGAAAGCUUGCUUUCGGUAGCCGGCGACCGGCGCACGGGUGAGUAACGCGUAUCGAACCUGCCUCAUACUCGGGAAUAGCCUUGCGAAAGUAAGAUUAAUGCCCGGUGUUUUCAGAGUCCCGCAUGAGGCUUUGAACAAAGAUUUAUCGGUAAGAGAUGGCGAUGCGUCCCAUUAGCUUGUUGGCGGGGUAACGGCCCACCAAGGCAUCGAUGGGUAGGGGUUCUGAGAGGAAGGCCCCCCACAUUGGAACUGAGACACGGUCCAAACUCCUACGGGAGGCAGCAGUGAGGAAUAUUGGUCAAUGGGCGGAAGCCUGAACCAGCCAAGUAGCGUGCAGGAAGACGGCCCUCCGGGUUGUAAACUGCUUUUAGUUGGGAAUAAAACGGGGCUCGUGAGCCCCCUUGCAUGUACCAUCAGAAAAAGGACCGGCUAAUUCCGUGCCAGCAGCCGCGGUAAUACGGAAGGUCCGGGCGUUAUCCGGAUUUAUUGGGUUUAAAGGGAGCGCAGGCGGACCUUUAAGUCAGCUGUGAAAUACGGCGGCUCAACCGUCGAACUGCAGUUGAUACUGGAGGUCUUGAGUGCACACAGGGAUGCUGGAAUUCAUGGUGUAGCGGUGAAAUGCUCAGAUAUCAUGAAGAACUCCGAUCGCGAAGGCAGGCAUCCGGGGUGCAACUGACGCUGAGGCUCGAAAGUGCGGGUAUCAAACAGGAUUAGAUACCCUGGUAGUCCGCACAGUAAACGAUGAAUACUCGCGGUUUGCGAUACAUUGUAAGCCGCCAAGCGAAAGCGUUAAGUAUUCCACCUGGGGAGUACGCCGGCAACGGUGCAA